CCUACGGGUGGCAGCAGUGGGGAAUAUUGCACAAUGGGGGAAACCCUGAUGCAGCGACGCCGCGUGAGUGAAGAAGUAAUUCGUUAUGUAAAGCUCUAGCAGCAGGGAAGAAAAUGACGGUACCUGAGUAAGAAGCCCCGGCUAACUACGUGCCAGCAGCCGCGGUCAUACGGAGGUGGCAAGCGUUAUCCGGAUUUACUGGGGGUAAAGGGAGCGUAGGCGGCAGUGCAAGUCUGGAGUGAAAGGCGGGGGCUCAACCCCCGGACUGCUCUGGAAACUGUACGGCUGGAGUGCAGGAGAGGGAAGUGGAAUUCCUGGUGUAGCAGUGAAAUGCGUAGAUAUUAGGAGGAACACUAGUGGCGAAGGCGGGUUACUGGACUGUAACUGACGUUGAGGCACGAAAGCGAGGGGAGCAAAAAGGAUUAGAUACCCGAGUAGUC
rnacentral:rRNA from 1 species